UACAGAGGUGGCAAGCGUUGUUCGGAAUUACUGGGCGUAAAGGGCGCGUAGGCGGCUUGGUCAGUCCCGUGUGAAAUCCCUCGGCUCAACUGAGGAACUGCACGGGAAACUGCCUGGCUUGAGUUCGGGAGAGGGAAGCGGAAUUCCGGGUGUGGCGGUGAAAUGCGUAGAUAUCGGGAGGAACACCGGUGGCGAAGGCGGCCUUCUGGUCGGAUACUGACGCUAAAACGCGAAAGCGUGGGGAGCAAACAGG
rnacentral:rRNA from 1 species